UAGCUAUAGCAACAAAAAUUUCACAUUGUAAAUUUAUUACCAAUACAUGAAGCAUUUUGAGAUUUUCAGUCCCAAAACUGUGUUUAUCUAAAUUUGAGCAGGGUGUUUCUUCUGAAAGGAUCGUUGGUUAACAGAACAAGGGACUCCUCUGUUCUAGAUUCAAGGAAUGCAAAGGUAAACAUAAUUCUGAUUCUAAUUCUCAGUGAAAAAAUUCCUGUCACUGUUGCCUUAGUUUCCAUAGAGAAUCUGACACAAUUUCCAUAAACUCCAUCCUCAAACACACAGAUAAUGUUGACUUUCUCUAGCUGUAGCAAUGUGAAUUUUCCCUUAGAUUGGAGAGAUCUCAACCCUUACGUUAGGUUCUGUGUUUCCAUGGCUUAGAGGUGGCUAGGCAAUGGAAACUUCAUAUUGCUGUUUUGAAGCGGUUGGAAUUUGUAAUGAAAUUUAGUUGAAAGAAUAACUGCCAAAAAGAAAUACUUGAAAACCACUGGUCUGUAAAAAUAAAGAAGAUUCUCAAGUAUGCUGAUUAAAUAGUACCUGAGCUACUGUAUUAUAAUCUGAAAGCCAUACCUCAUGAAAUGUAUCCAGUGGAGAGUCGCCUCAAUUAAUUCUAAGGAAAUCUGAACUGCAUUAUAUAAGAGAUUAUCAUUCUUUCAGCAAGUAUUUGUUUACCAGAUUUUCACUAAUCCACUGGGCACUGCUGAUACAAUACUGAAGAAGAGGAGAAAAGGUUUUAUGGCUGAUGAAGCCGACAUUUUAGUGGGUUGAGUAUCCCAUAUCUGGAAUGCUUGGGACCAGAAGUGUUUGGGAUUUUGGAAUAUCUGCAUAUAUAUUAUGAGAUUUCUGGGAGACGGGACUCAAGUCUGAAUAAGAAAUUCAUCUAUAUGUCUCAUACAUCUUAUAGGCAUCACCUGAAGAUUAAGAAGAUGAGAUCCAAAGAGGUGAAUGACCUACCAACAAGCCCAAAACUAGCAAAUGCAACUGCAACAACAAAUCCUGAUAACAGGCUAAGUAUUAAAUCACUAAACUAAUAAUUAAAUCACUUGCUCCAUAAAAACAUAACUAUUCUUAAAACUUAUAAAUAAAUUUUCAAAUUAAAAAUAAGUGAUAGUCAAACAGAUUCCUUUCUAUCCCUCUAAGGAUGCAUAUCCAUAAUUGUUUAAAUUUAUUUGAUUUUACCUUUUGCUAUAUGCCUUCUCUUAUGUUUGGACCUUUCUCAGGUUUUCUUCAUAAUAACCUUGUUCCAAUCACAGCACAGUAACCUUUACCACUGUUUCAACAACAGAGUCUCAUCAACCAUUUUCAUCUGAUAAAAGGAAGCCCUCCUAGCUGACCUCAAUAUUUACCAUCUUUACUGAGUGAAAGCUGAUGAUCUCCAGCCUAUGUUGACUUUGCUCCAAAGAAGCUUGUGUACACCUGCACUGUACAUUAGCACAACCUGGGAGCUUUAUAAAAAAUACCAGUGCUAGAGCCUAAAGCCAGAAAAGUCAGAUGUUUGAAGAUUUAAUUUUAAGCCUCCCCACUUGAUUUUGAUGUGUUACUGAAGCCACUCGGUCUAGGGUACUUUGUUAUAUCAGCCCUAAGACACCUCCUCUUUCUUACAGCUCUUCACUUUAAUAUUCCAAACUAAGUAUUUUCCACACAUGCACCAAGCCCCUACAUUCAAAAUUCCAUAGGCUAGAACAGAAGUGUUAGGGCCAACGAUGACAUUCUAAGAAAAGAAACCCCAACAUUUCUUAAGAACAAUGAACCUAUAAACCAUUUGUAUGUGUUUGACUGCUAAAGAGCAGGUAUUCAACAAACAAAUAUUGAAUAAGGGAAAAAUAAAUGCAGUAAUAAAUGAAAAACAGAAAAACAGAGUAAUAUACCAACCGAUAAGGGGUCCUUAAAGUAAGUGUGUUUAGAACUACACCUUUAAUUGAAUACGGAACAUGAGAUGUAGGAUGGGAUGCCAGAUCAGGGAACUAUGUUGAGGGAAGAGCUUCAUUAACAAAGCAUUUAUUAGAUUGAACCAUAAGAAAUCAAUAAUAUUUGACUACUAUGAACUACAAAGAUGGCAGUUUCAUUUUACAACCUAAUAAUUUCUUAUGAGUGGCUCAUGGGUAUUUCACACUGUUCAUCAUUUUCAUUUAUUUGAUUUACAAUUAGUUAUUAAUAUUUAUACUUAUGACAUUUUUAUGGAAAUCAAACUAAGCAAUGGAGCUUAAAGCACAGAGAUGGAAUAUUUUACUUAAAAUUUUAAAACAUGUGUAGAUGAAAAACAGAGUAAUACAUGUAUGAUUGUAAAAAUUUAAGGUUGUUCUUCAGGGGUAAAUCUCAGCAUAUUUUUAACAUAUGGUAGUGACAUAGCCUCAGGACAUUUUAGUAUCACAUUUUUCUGUGACUAUAUGAAUUUCACAAACCCAAUUGCUACAGUAAACCAAUUGUACCUCUGGGCAAUUAGAAAAAAAGUGGCCCUGCCUGCGGAGGACAUAGCUUUAAUAAGGUCAAACGGCUUGAAGAGCAGAGUCCAGGAUUCAUUUCAGCUCCCACUGGCCACCUUGCCCUAGUGCACUUAUGCAGUGAACAACCUGCACAACCAUAUAUGAAGAACAUAUACUGUUGACUACUGAACAACAUGGGUUUGAACUGCAGGGUUCCGCUUAUAUGCAGAUUUUCUCCCAUCUCUGUCACUACUGAGACAGUAAAAUCAACACAUCCUCUUCCUCUUCCUCCUCAGCCUACUCAGUGUGAAGACAACCAGGAGGAAGACCUUUAUGAUGAUCUACUUCCACUUAAUAAGUAGUAAAUAUAUUCUCUUUUCCUUAUGUUUCUCUUAAUCACAGUUUCUUUUCUCUAGCAUAUUUAUUAUAUGAAUAUAGCAUAUAAUAAUAUAACAUACAAAAUAUGUGUUAAUCAACUAUUGAUGUUACCAAUAAGGCUUACAGUCAACAAUAGGAUAUUAGCAGUUAAGUUUUUAAGGAGUCAAAAGUUAUAAAUGUUCAACUGUGCAGGGAGUCAGCAACCCCAACCCUCACAUUGUUCAAAGGUCAACUGUGCAUAAUUGUCUAAAUCAGAAAUUAUUUCAUUUUCCUAGCCAGUCAUGACUUUAUUGCCAUAAGAAAUGAGGCAGACAUUACAGGAUAAGAACAUGUUUAAAAACCAAAGUAUCACUUUACUAGUUAAUGAUUGCUUAUAUAAAGAUCCACUGAACAGUGUUCAAGUAGCACCACAGGAGAUUUAGGCAGUGAAAUUACUUGUGUGUGUGCUCAUGUAUGUGAUAUGCCCAAGCAUAUCUAGAGCCACUACUUUUUGAUAUAUGCAUGGUAUGGCUAGACAAGAAGGACUUUACCUGCAGCUUGGAGUCUGCUUCAAUUGUGACCCCUUUAAAACCUCUCCAAGGACAAAAGUAAUUGGCCAUAAUGAGAUCCAAUAAUUACUUCAUUUGAAGCCAAUCAAAUGAACAAGUACCUGCCUACAAUUUAGCUGAAAUAUUGAAAUCUGACCAUUGAUUUUGAUAAGAGAAGACUCCCAGGAAUUCUGUGAAAUACAUUUCUUUUUGGAAAGGAGGACAGAGAUUUUUGAAGCCACAUACUUGAAAGCAAUCAUAAAUGAACACAAUAUGUCACUCCCAAGUUUUCCCCAAGACAGGAAAAAAUAAUUAACUAAGAAAAUAAAUAGUUAAAUAAAUAUAAGCAUUAUACAAUAAGUACGAAGGAACUUCAGGCAUUAAAGACAUAGGAAGGUGAGACUCUGAACUGCCUGGGCCAACAUAAAGCAAGUGUUCUUAUCCAUAACACUGAAUUUUGAAAUGGUCACUGUAAUUUUGGAAGUCUACUGUGCUUUGAAAAUUAAUUUUUUCACUUUUACUAAAAGUUAUGUAUUACUCAGAAACUAUAAACAUUUGUC